rnacentral:misc_RNA from 1 species
UGGUUACAGAGGUGCCGUCUGC